AUUGAACGCUGGCGGCAGGCCUAACACAUGCAAGUCGAGCGGAUGAAGGGAGCUUGCUCCUGGAUUCAGCGGCGGACGGGUGUGUAAUGCCUAGGAAUCUGCCUGGUAGUGGGGGAUAACGUCCGGAAACGGGCGCUAAUACCGCAUACGUCCUGAGGGAGAAAGUGGGGGAUCUUCGGACCUCACGCUAUCAGAUGAGCCUAGGUCGGAUUAGAUAGUUGGUGGGGUAAAGGCCUACCAAGGCGACGAUCCGUAACUGGUCUGAGAGGAUGAUCAGUCACACUGGAACUGAGACACGGUACAGACUCCUACGGGAGGCAGCAGUGGGGAAUAUUGGACAAUGGGCGAAAGCAUGAUCCAGCAAUGCCGCGUGUGUGAAGAAGGUCUUCGGAUUGUAAAGCACUUUAAGUUGGGAGGAAGGGCAGUAAGUUAAUACCUUGCUGUUUUGACGUUACCAAAAGAAUAAGCACCGGCUAACUACGUG
rnacentral:rRNA from 1 species